ACAAUCAAAGAAUCAAAUAAGUGAGCCAAGUUCACUGGUUGCACUGUCGCUGCUGAUUGGGCAGACUGGAAAUUGCUGGCACUAACAGGAAUAAAUUGUUUCUUAAUCCAACAGUCCAGAACAUUCAACAAGAGAAGCUGCCAGACUGAAAUGUGAUCUCCAGGAGCUCUCUGUACACCGCAGCAGGAUUAGAUAGAAUGGGCUGUCGUAAACUGACCACAAACUUGGCCUAACCUCCAGCAGUUUUCAUCCAUCUCAGCAGAAAAGGAGAAACAAUUCCAUCAAAAAAAACAGAAACAAAGAAUACAAAGGGGAAAUUACCAGGCGGAAAAAAAUACCAGCAGGAAGAAGUAGCAGUGGGAGGAGCCAAUACCCGGAGAAACAAUUCCAGCUGGAGGAAAACACACUAGAAGCAGCAACACCAGCAGGAGAGACAAUACCGGCAAGGAGGGGGAAGAAAUCCAGAUGGAGGAACGAUACCAGCAGGAGAGACGAUACCAACGGGGGAAGCAAUUCUACCAGAAAUAAACAACGGGAGGAACAAAGCAGAGGAGCAUCUGCUGGAGUCGGAAAGCAUCCUAUCCAGAUGCAUCCCGGCUUGGUAAGAUAACUGCUCUGCCCAAGACCGCAGGAAACUGCAGAGAGUUGUGGACACAGCUCGGCACUUCACGGAAGCCAGCCUCCCCUCCAUGGACUGUCUACACUUCUCACUGCCUCAGUGAAGCAGCCAACAUAGUCAAAGACCCCUUUCACCCCGGACAUUCUCUCUUCUCUCACCUCCCAUCGGGCAGAAGAUACAAAAGCCUGAAAGCACGUACCACCAGGCUCAGGGACAGCUUCUAUCCCACUGUUAUAAGACUAUUGAAUGGUCCCCUAGUACAAUAAGAUGGACUCUUGACCUCACAAUCCACCUCGUUAUGGCCUUGCACCUUAGUGUCUGCCUGCACUGCACUUUCUCUGUAACACUUUACUCUGCAUUCUAUUAUUGUUUUCCCUUGUACUACCUCAAUGCACUGCUGUAAUGAAAUAAUCUGUAUGGACGGCAUGCAAAACAAGGUUUUUCAUUGUA